UACGUAGGGGGCAAGCGUUAUCCGGAUUUACUAGGUGUAAAGGGAGCGUAGGUGGCAUGGUAAGCCAGAAGUGAAAACCCGGGGCUCAACCCCGCGGAUUGCUUUUGGAACUAUCAGGCUGGAGUGCUGGAGGGGUAAGCGGAAUUCCUAGUGUAGCGGUGAAAUGCGUAGAUAUUAGGAGGAACACCGGUGGCGAAGGCGGCUUACUGGACAGAAACUGACACUGAGGCUCGAAAGCGUGGGGAGCAAACAGG
rnacentral:rRNA from 1 species